rnacentral:rRNA from 1 species
GAUGAACGCUGGCGGCGUGCCUAAUACAUGCAAGUAGAACGCUGAAGGAAGGAGCUUGCUCUUUCCGGAUGAGUUGCGAACGGGUGAGUAACGCGUAGGUAACCUGCCUGGUAGCGGGGGAUAACUAUUGGAAACGAUAGCUAAUACCGCAUAACAGUAGAUAUUGCAUGAUAUCUGCUUGAAAGGGGCAAUUGCUCCACUACCAGAUGGACCUGCGUUGUAUUAGCUAGUUGGUGAGGUAACGGCUCACCAAGGCGACGAUACAUAGCCGACCUGAGAGGGUGAUCAGCCACACUGGGACUGGGACACGGCCCAGACUCCUACGGGAGGCAGCAGUAGGGAAUCUUCGGCAAUGGACGGAAGUCUGACCGAGCAACGCCGCGGGAGUGAAGAAGGUUUUCGGAUCGUAAAGCUCUGUUGUAAGAGAAGAACGAGUGUGAGAGUGGAAAGUUCACACUGUGACGGUAUCUUACCAGAAAGGGACGGCUAACUACGUG